AUUGAACGCUGGCGGCAGGCUUAACACAUGCAAGUCGAGCGGGGAAAGGUAGCUUGCUACCUGACCUAGCGGCGGACGGGUGAGUAAUGCUUAGGAAUCUGCCUAUUAGUGGGGGACAACAUUCCGAAAGGAAUGCUAAUGCCGCAUACGCCCUACGGGGGAAAGCAGGGGAUCUUCGGACCUUGCGCUAAUAGAUGAGCCUAAGUCAGAUUAGCUAGUUGGUGGGGUAAAGGCCUACCAAGGCGACGAUCUGUAGCGGGUCUGAGAGGAUGAUCCGCCACACAGGGACGGAGACACGGCCCAGACUCCUACGGGAGGCAGCAGUGGGGAAUAUUGGACAAUGGGGGAAAGCCUGAUCCGGCCAUGCCUCGUGUGUGAAGAAGGCCUUUUGGUUGUAAAGCACUUUAAGCGAGGAGGAGGCUACUUGGAUUAAUACUCUAGGAUGGUGGACGUUACUCGCAGAAUAAGCACCGGCUAACUCUGCGCCAGCAGCCGCCGUAA
rnacentral:rRNA from 1 species